rnacentral:rRNA from 1 species
CCUACGGGAGGCAGCAGUAGGGAAUAUUGCUCAAUGGGGGAAACCCUGAAGCAGCAACGCCGCGUGCAGGAUGAAGGUUUUCGGAUUGUAAACUCCUUUUGUUAGAGAAGAUAAUGACGUUAUCUAACGAAUAAGCACCGGCUAACUCCGUGCCAGCAGCCGCGGUAAUACGGAGGGUGCAAGCGUUACUCGGAAUCACUGGGCGUAAAGCGCGCGUAGGCGGGAUAGCAAGUCAGAUGUGAAAUCCUAUGGCUUAACCAUAGAACUGCAUUUGAAACUGUUAUUCUAGAGUAUGGGAGAGGUAGGUGGAAUUCUUGGUGUAGGGGUAAAAUCCGUAGAGAUCAAGAGGAAUACUCAUUGCGAAGGCGACCUGCUAGAACAUAACUGACGCUGAUGCGCGAAGGCGUGGGGAGCAAACAGGAUUAGAUACCCCUGUAGUC